GUAAGAGUGAAAGUCAGCAGCUCCAUUUUGUGUGGAGUGAAAGAUCGGGGUGGUGAAACUAAAAGAUUUCAGGAGUAAAAACACAAAUGAUGGAGGGAAAGAGAUCAGACUCACCAGAACCCAGUGGUGUGUCCAUGAAGAGUGACGUGUCAAUGGAACAACCAAUAUACUUCAGAGCCAGAGACAGUUCUACUGAUGUGAGACCACAAAAAUCAAACAUCAGCACAAAACAGCUGGACUCUAUAUUCAAGG